UUAUUGGGGUAGCCCCCAAAAUAUUGGGACAUAUAAAAAAAGACAACUCUGUUCCGCAGAGUAGCUGUUAACAUUAUAGUUGCGCAGGAACUUUGUUGAUUCUAGAACCUCGGGCAAAUCACACAUCCCCGUGGUGGCGACUUUGCAUGCGGAUGUCAUCCAUAUCAACAUUCGAUGCCAGUUUCUGUGCCUACCAUGGUGACCACGGGUAACGGGGAACCAGGGUUUCAUUCCGUACCGGGACCCUGAGAAAUGGCUACCACAUGCAAGGAAGGCAGCAGGCGCGAAAGUUACCCACUCCCGACGCGGGAAGGUAGUGAUGA